AAUAACCGUAGUUAAAUAUUUCAUAUUUAACAACAGUUCAUAUUUGGUACCGUUGUGAAAUGAUUUCAUACAAAAUUAAAACAUAACAUGUUACACUUGAGUGCCCUAGUGAACCAGACGACAGGGAUAGCGAAAUCUUCAUCAUCUUUAUUCAUUACUUGGAACGUCAAUUGUUCACCAUCUUCAUUUAUUUCUUGGAACGAAAAUAAUUUAUUGGUCUCUUCCUCCUCUUCGAAGUAUGACGCAUUACCUUUCUAUGUUCAUCGUUCAUUUCUUUGUCUCUCUAUAUCACUAUGUGAUAUGGGUUUCCAUUAUUUUUAUUUUGUUGCAAAUGUAUUUUGGUUUUAUUUAGAUUUUGUGAUGUUUUUGUUGUUAUAAGGCUACUUGAUGUUAUUAUGUGUCCUGAUCUCGCAUUGUGAUGUUUUUGGUGUUAUAAGAUUAUGUUU
rnacentral:lncRNA from 1 species